rnacentral:rRNA from 1 species
UGCCAGCCGCCGCGGUAAUACGGAGGGUGCAAGCGUUGUUCGGAAUUAUUGGGCGUAAAGCGUGCGUAGGUGGUUAUUUAAGUCAGAUGUGAAAGCCCCGGGCUCAACCUGGGAAAGGCGUUUGAAACUGGGUAGCUAGAGUAUGGUAGAGGGAAGUGGAAUUUCAGGUGUAGCGGUGAAAUGCGUAGAUAUCUGAAGGAACACCGGUGGCGAAGGCGGCUUCCUGGACUGAUACUGACACUGAGGUACGAAGGCGUGGGGAGCAAACAGGAUUAGAUA